rnacentral:rRNA from 1 species
GAUGAACGCUGGCGGCGUGCUUAACACAUGCAAGUCGAACGAAGCACUUUAUUUGAUUUCCUUCGGGACUGAUUAUUUUGUGACUGAGUGGCGGACGGGUGAGUAACGCGUGGGUAACCUGCCUUGUACAGGGGGAUAACAGUUGGAAACGGCUGCUAAUACCGCAUAAGCGCACAGCAUCGCAUGCUGCAGUGUGAAAAACUCCUGUGGUAUAAGAUGUACGCGCGUUGGAUUAGCUAGUUGGUGAGGUAACGGCCCACCAAGGCGACGAUCCAUAGCCGAGAGGAGAGGGUGCCCGGCCACAAUGGGGCUACGACACAGCCCAAAAUCGUACGGGAGGGAGGAGUGGGGAAUAUUGCACAAUGGGGGAAAGCCUGAUGCAGCGACGCCGGGUAAGCGAAGAAGUAUGUCGGUAUGUAAAGCUCUAUCAGCAGGGAAGAUAAUGACGGUACCUGACUAAGAAGCACCGGCUAAAUACGUG